UACGAAGGGGGGCUAGCGUUGCUCGGAAUCACUGGGCGUAAAGGGUGCGUAGGCGGGUCUUUUAAGUCAGGGGUGAAAUCCUGGAGCUCAACUCCAGAACUGCCUUUGAUACUGAGGAUCUUGAGUUCGGGAGAGGUGAGUGGAACUGCGAGUGUAGAGGUGAAAUUCGUAGAUAUUCGCAAGAACACCAGUGGCGAAGGCGGCCAACUGGACCAACACUGACGCUGAGGCGCGAAAGCGUGGGGAGCAAACAGG
rnacentral:rRNA from 1 species